GAUGAAGAACGUAGCGAAAUGCGAUAAGUAAUGUGAAUUGCAGAAUUCAGUGAAUCAUCGAAUCUUUGAACGCACAUUGCGCCCGCCAGUAUUCUGGCGGGCAUGCCUGUUCGAGCGUCAUUUCAACCAUCAAGCCCCCCGGCUUGUGUUGGGGACCUGCGGCUGCCGCAGGCCCUGAAAAGCAGUGGCGGGCUCGCUGUCACACCGAGCGUAGUAGCAUACAUCUCGCUCUGGGUGUGCUGCGGGUUCCGGCCGUUAAACCACCUUCAUAACCCAAGGUUGACCUCGGAUCAGGUAGGAAGACCCGCUGAACUUAAGCAUAUCAAUAAGCGGAGGA
rnacentral:misc_RNA from 1 species